CCCCUGUUAGUCUAGUGGUUAGGAUGCAGCGCUCUCACCGCUGCGCCCCGGGGUUCGAUUCCCAGUCAGGGAA
rfam:Manacus vitellinus contig5482, whole genome shotgun sequence.